rnacentral:miRNA from 1 species
GGAUGCCUGGUUAAAUUUGAAUUUCAGAUAGGCAAUGAAUACAGUUUUUAGUGUAAGUAUGUCCCAUGCAAAAUUUGGGACAUACUUAUACUACAAAAUUAUCUUCUUUUGCUAAAUCUCACA